CCGGAACCUGGGCCCGUGUCCGGAACUGCUGUGCCCAGGCAGCUUGCCUGGAAAUCAGAUAUGUUGUCAUUACCAUGGGGAUUACACGAAACAUCCUGAAGUUAGAGCAAUCCAUUUUAAACUGAUGUUUUGUUGAUGGCUGACGUAGCGGACUCAAAACAACGAGCACUUCUGCUUGAUACACAGAUUCUCCGAGGUUCCUGUGGAGCCACAGCACCUCCUGUCUUGGCACUUCAUAGUUGUCUCAUCGAGUCCAAGGCUGCCUCCCAAGGGUCUGGCUGGUAGACCAUGAAGUUGAUUCCUGCCUUAAGCCUGGCUCUGCAAGAAGUUGUCCUAUAUUCUCACCAGUCACAUUUUUGGUACUAGAACGGUGCUUUUUAUAGUGCACUCGUAACUGGACGCUGAAAUCACAGCCUGGCCAUUUGGAUGUUCAACCGAUGCUUUAUGCUGCUGAGUCCUUGGAACUCACUCCCCGUGCCGGAACUCACUGGAGCUCAGGUGUGUGGCACUACCUUGUUUCUCUGCAGCUGGUAUUGCAAACAUUUUUCAUGCAUUUAUUUCCCAUUGUUUACUUUUGAGUUUUUGUUUUGUGAGACAGGGUCUCAGUCUG
rnacentral:lncRNA from 1 species